UCUACCUAUUAUAUUACUACUCGACGAUUUGCUUCCUCUAUUCUCUCUUGUUAUUAACGAAAAUAAUCAAAUAUGUAUCAAUUUGUUUAGACAUGUUCAAUCUAGAGAUAUGCAAGUUGAGAUAGAAAAAAUUAAUUUGUGACACAUCCUCUUCAUUGUAUAAAGUAAAUAUUACAACCCAUAGCCAUGGAUGAAACCUAGAAGGCAUCUAACAUAACAUGAAACAAGGAAGGAACAAGAUCACUAAGAACCCAUGGAGCUAAUAAAAAAUCAGCAAAAAUGCAAAUCAAGUCGAUAAGGAAAGCUAGUUUGAACGAGAAGGCGUUGAAGGUCCAAAUUAUUUGUCGUGGUAUAAGAGCUCCAAGAUAGUUCCGGAAAAAAUCCACAAGAAACCAUCACUUAACAACAGAAUUCAACUAAAAGAAGCCACAAGAAAAUGAAUUUCUACCCGAGCAGCCAACGAAGAACACGCCUGACAAUUAAACUACUUAAAUACCAAGCGCGAUUGAGCUAAAACUCCUCAGUCCCAUACUAAGAAAACCAGAAAACCUGUCGGUAAAAAAAACAAAGAACAGCACAAAUUCAUAACACUGAAGCUUUACAAUGAAAAAUUCAUCAAGAAACCCAAAGGCCGAGCAACAAGACCUUACUGAAGACAAUUUAGAUAAAAUAUCUGAUGCCACCGAGAACAGAUGACAGAACCUUAUAUCACAGCCGGGAGACCCAAACCGAAGACACUAAGUAGCCACCACCCAUCCCUGCCUCAAGACCAACCAACUUCAUAAAUUACAAAAAUCUUAUUCACAACCCAAAGAAAAAACACAAGCCAUAGUUUAAAAGACCUUUAUCAAAGAUGACCAAGGGAUAUAGAAAAGAAACUGAAUUGGCAGAACCACCUGAAAGCAUCACCAAAUCUAAUGGAAGAAGUAGAAACAAAAUUUAAAUCUGAAAAAGGAACCUUAAGAAGGCGACAGAUAGUGAGGAGGAAACCCGAGAAAUCCCAAACCGUCAUAACUUCAUAUUUAUAAAGUAACACAACAGAGAAGACCUAUGGACACAGACUAAAACAAUAACAAAAACUAGACAUCCUAAGAGCAGCCAAAAAGGGGAGGCGUUCGAACCCAUGCUUGAGCACCUAACUUCAGAGAAGAAACAGG
rnacentral:lncRNA from 1 species